AUGUUCUCCUCCUCUCUGGUACUGCUGCUGUUGCUGCUGGCAGCUGUAAACAGACUCUACUGUGUUGAACUGAACCAGCCUGAUUCUAUGCUUGUGAAGCCUGGUCAGAUUUUGACUUUGUCCUGUAAGGUCUCUGGAUAUUCACUAACUGAUAGCAGAUACUGCACAAACUGGAUAAAAAAAACCUCAUUGUAUUGGAUCAGAAGAGUAUGUGGUAGUGGUAACACAGUGUACAGUGAAAAACUGAAGAACAAGUUUCAGGUCUUCAGAGAUACUUCCAGCAGUACAGUGUCUCUGCGAGGACAAAGCCCGCAGACUGAGGACACAGUUGUGUAUUACUGUGCUCAACUGUCACAGUGA